rnacentral:misc_RNA from 1 species
GUGGUGUUUGGAUCGUCCCUGCCGGCUGGCUCCGUGCCGGUCCACCGAACGGUCGGCAGGAGAUCCGCGUCGGUCGCGCGAGGUGUGAUGGUUGGUUACCCGGAGGCCGGUUCUUGUGCUGCCUACCCCCUCAAGGGAAGCAGGCCACCUGAUGUACGCCUCCAUCCUGCGCCUUCCAAGGGGCGCAGGAGGACAACGGAGCACCCCCCGCGUUCCACCGAGCCUUUGCCGGUCUCGUGGCGCGCGGGGACGUGCGAUGCUCUCGGACCCGGUGCACGCCGUGGGCGAGGACUCACGUCCCAGUCCCAAGAGAAGCCUCGAUGUAACGUAUGACGGCCGAUCCCGCCCCCCGACCGCCCCGGCGGCGCGGGGGCGAGGCGCGGCGUCGCGGAGGAAUGCUACCUGGUUGAUCCUGCCAGUAGUCAUAUGCUUGUCUCAAAGAUUAAGCCAU